UAAUAUUCCUGGGCCAGUGGGAUGUGACGGAUCGCAGAUGUAGUUUGCCCUUAUCGGAUUGGGUGGGCUGCUGAGCGGUUCCAGGAAAUAGCCCCACAUCAGACCGUACCCUAAACCGACACAGGUGGACUGGUAGAGUAUACCAAGGCGCUUGAGAGAACCACGUUAAAGGAACUCGGCAAAAUGCCUCCGUAAGUUCGCGAGAAGGAGGCCCCAUAUGUAGGCAACUAUGUGUGGGGGGCACAAACUAGGGGGUGGCGACUGUUUACUUAAAACACAGGGCUGUGCGAAGCCGCAAGGCGACGUAUACAGUCUGACGCCUGCCCGGUGCUGGAAGGUUAAGAGGAGCGGUCAGCGUAAGCGAAGCUGCGAAUUUAAGCCCCAGUAAACGGCGGUGGUAACUAUAACCAUCCUAAGGUAGCGAAAUUCCUUGUCGGGUAAGUUCCGACCUGCACGAAUGGCGUAACGACUUCCCAGCUGUCUCAACCGCGAACUCGGCGAAAUUGCACUACGAGUAAAGAUGCUCGUUACGCGCAGAAGGACGGAAAGACCCCGUGACCUUUACUAUAGUUUGGUAUUGGUGUUCGGUGUGACUUGUGUAGGAUAGGUGGGAGACUUUGAAGCUGGCACGCUAGUGUCGGUGGAGUCAUUGUUGAAAUACCACUCUGGUCACUCUGGACAUCUAACCAUGAACCGUAAUCCGGUUCUGGGACAGUGCCUGAUGGGUAGUUUAACUGGGGCGGUUGCCUCCCAAAAAGUAACGGAGGCGCCCAAAGGUUCCCUCAACCUGGUUGGCAAUCAGGUGUCGAGUGUAAGUGCACAAGGGAGCUUGACUGUGAGACUGACAAGUCGAGCAGGGACGAAAGUCGGGACUAGUGCUCCGGCAGUGGCUUGUGGAAGCGCUGUCGCUCAACGGAUAAAAGGUACCUCGGGGAUAACAGGCUGAUCUCCCCCAAGAGUCCACAUCGACGGGGAGGUUUGGCACCUCGAUGUCGGCUCGUCGCAUCCUGGGGCUGAAGUAGGUC
rnacentral:rRNA from 1 species